CAAACCCUCAAGCACCGCUUGGCCAUGGGCGUCCACGCCCCCCGCACGUCGGGGGGCGCGCCCCAAAGACCUCGGCGGUGGCACCGAGCCUCUGAGCGCAGUAGAAACACCCCGCUCACCGAGGCCCGGCGUCGCCCGCCCCCAGUCCCCCAACACCUUCAA
rnacentral:misc_RNA from 1 species